AGAGUUUGAUCCUGGCUCAGGAUAAACGCUGGCGGCGCACAUAAGGCAUGCAAGUCGAACGAACUUAACUCAUUCUUUUAGUUUGAGAGCGGUUAGUGGCGGACUGGUGAGUAACACGUAAGCAACCUGCCUAUUAGAGGGGAAUAACAGUGAGAAAUCAUUGCUAAUACCGCAUAUGCUAACAGUAUCGCAUGAUACAGUUAGGAAAGGAGUAAUCCGCUAAUAGAUGGGCUUGCGCCUGAUUAGCUAGUUGGUGGGGCAAUGGCCUACCAAGGCGACGAUCAGUAGCCGGACUGAGAGGUUGAACGGCCACAUUGGGACUGAGAUACGGCCCAGACUCCUACGGGAGGCAGCAGUCGGGAAUAUUGCGCAAUGGAGGAAACUCUGACGCAGUGACGCCGCGUAUAGGAAGAAGGUUUUCGGAUUGUAAACUAUUGUCGUUAGGGAAGAUACAAGACAGUACCUAAGGAGGAAGCCCCGGCUAACUAUGUGCCAGCAGCCGCGGUAAUACAUAGGGGGCAAGCGUUAUCCGGAAUUAUUGGGCGUAAAGGGUGCGUAGACGGAGGAGCAAGUUGGUUGUGAAAUCCCUCGGCUUAACUGAGGAACUGCAACCAAAACUACUUCCCUUGAGUGUCGGAGAGGAAAGUGGAAUUCCUAGUGUAGCGGUGAAAUGCGUAGAUAUUAGGAGGAACACCAGUGGCGAAGGCGACUUUCUGGACGAUAACUGACGUUGAGGCACGAAAGUGUGGGGAGCAAACAGGAUUAGAUACCCUGGUAGUCCACACCGUAAACGAUGGAUA
rnacentral:rRNA from 1 species